UACGAAGGGGGCGAGCGUUAUUCGGAAUCACUGGGCUUAAAGGGCGCGUAGGCGGCGCGCGAGGUCGGGGGUGAAAUCCCACAGCUUAACUGUGGAAGAGCCUUCGAUACCGGCGCGCUGGAGGAAGGUAGGGGUGCGCGGAACUUCUGGUGGAGCGGUGAAAUGCGUUGAUAUCAGAAGGAACGCCGGCGGCGAAAGCGGCGCACUGGACCUUUUCUGACGCUGAGGCGCGAAAGCCAGGGGAGCAAACGGG
rnacentral:rRNA from 1 species